GCCCAGACUCCUACGGGAGGCAGCAGUGGGGAAUAUUGCACAAUGGGGGAAACCCUGAUGCAGCGACGCCGCGUGAAGGAAGAAGUAUUUCGGUAUGUAAACUUCUAUCAGCAGGGAAGAAAAUGACGGUACCUGACUAAGAAGCCCCGGCUAACUACGUGCCAGCAGCCGCGGUGAUACGUAGGGGGCAAGCGUUAUCCGGAUUUACUGGGUGUAAAGGGGGCGCAGACGGCGAUGCAAGCCAGGAGUGAAAGCCCGGGGCCCAACCCCGGGACUGCUCUUAGAACUGCGUGGCUGGAGUGCAGGAGGGGCAGGCGGAAUUCCUGGUGUAGCGGUGAAAUGCGUAGAUAUCAGGAGGAACACCGGUGGCGAAGGCGGCCUGCUGGACUGCAACUGACGUUGAGGCCCGAAAGCGUGGGGAGCAAACAGGAUUAGAUACCCCAGUAC
rnacentral:rRNA from 1 species